CGCGGAGUAGAGCAGCUCGGAAGCUCGCUGGGCCCAUAACCCAGAGGUCGCGGGUUCGAAUCCCGCCUCCGCAACCA
rnacentral:tRNA from 1 species